UACGUAGGGGGCAAGCGUUGUCCGGAAUCAUUGGGCGUAAAGCGCGUGUAGGCGGCUCGAUAAGUCUGCUGUGAAAGUCCAGGGCUCAACCCUGGGAUGCCGGUGGAUACUGUCGAGCUCGAGUCCGGAAGAGGCGAGUGGAAUUCCUGGUGUAGCGGUGAAUGCGCAGAUAUCAGGAGGAACACCAAUGGCGAAGGCAGCUCGCUGGGACGUGACUGACGCUGAGACGCGAAAGCGUGGGGAGCAAACGGGAUAGAA
rnacentral:rRNA from 1 species